rnacentral:rRNA from 1 species
GACGAACGCUGGCGGCGUGCCUAAUACAUGCAAGUCGAACGAGAGCGACCGGUGCUUGCACUGGUCAAUCUAGUGGCGAACGGGUGAGUAACACGUGGGUAACCUGCCCAUCAGAGGGGGAUAACAUCCGGAAACGGAUGCUAAAACCGCAUAGGUCUUCGAGCCGCAUGGCUUGAAGAGGAAAAGAGGCGCAAGCUUCUGCUGAUGGAUGGACCCGCGGUGCAUUAGCUAGUUGGUGAGGUAACGGCUCACCGAGGCCGUGAUGCAUAGCCGACCUGAGAGGGUGAUCGGCCACAUUGGGACUGAGACACGGCCCAAACUCCUACGGGAGGCAGCAGUAGGGAAUCUUCCGCAAUGGACGCAAGUCUGACGGAGCAACGCCGCGUGAGUGAAGAAGGUUUUCGGAUCGUAAAACUCUGUUGUUAGAGAAGAACAAGUGCUAGAGUAACUGUUAGCGCCUUGACGGUAUCUAACCAGAAAGCCACGGCUAACUACGUG